UCCCUGCUGGCUCAGUUGGGUAGGGAGUCUGCCUGCAAUGUAGGAGACCUGGGUUCAGUCCCUGGGUUGGGAA
rnacentral:tRNA from 1 species